rnacentral:rRNA from 1 species
UACGGAGGGUGCAAGCGUUAAUCGGAAUUACUGGGCGUAAAGGGUUCGUAGGCGGUUAUUUAAGUCAGAUGUGAAAGCCCCGGGCUCAACCUGGGAACUGCAUUUGAUACUGAGUAACUAGAAUGUGUUAGAGGAAGGCGGAAUUCCCGGUGUAGCAGUGAAAUGCGUAGAUAUCGGGAGGAACACCAGUUGCGAAGGCGGCCUUCUGGGACAACAUUGACGCUGAGGAACGAAAGCGUGGGUAGCAAACGGG